rfam:Drosophila virilis strain TSC#15010-1051.87 Ctg01_14631, whole genome shotgun sequence.
GUUGCAGUUCCUGGAAUUAAGUUGACUGUGUAGCCUGUAAAGGGAAGGCUUGUGCACUGCUUACAAAGUCAGCAACUUGAUUCCAGCAAUUGCGGCCC